ensembl:lncRNA
AUGUUGCACGCCCCAAUGCUGUUCACAACCAAGUUGCCUUGCACACUCACAUCCCAUUGCACGUCCAAGUGGCUUUGCACACUCAAAUCCUCUUGCACACCCAAGUGUCGUUGUAUGUCCCAGUUGCAUUGCACACCCAAAUCCCAUUGCACAUCCAAGCUGCUUUGCACGCUCAAAUCCCUUUGCACACCCAAAUCCUGUUGCACACCCACGUGUCGUUGCAAGUCACAGUUGCGUUGCACACCUGAAUUCUGUUGCACACCCCAAUCCUGUUGCAAGUGCCAGCUGUGUUGCACACUCAAAUCCCAUUGCAAGUCCAAGUUGUGUUGCACGCCCCAAUGCUGUUCACACUCAAGUUGCUUUGCACACCCAAAUCCUGUUGCACACCCACAUGUUGCUGCAAGUCACAGUUGCGUUGCACACUCAAAUCCCAUUGCAAGUCCAAGUUGUGUUGCACACCCCAGUGCUGUUCACACUCAAGUUGCGUUGCACACUCAAAUCCCACUGCAAGUCCAAGUUGUGUUGCACGCCGCAAUCCCCUUGCACGUCCAGGUGUCAUUGCACGUCCAAGUGUUGUUGCAAGUCUCAGUUGUGUUGCACACCCCCAUCCCCUUGCAUGUCCCAGUUGUGUUGCACGGCCUGUUUGCAUUGCACGCCCCAAUCCCUUUGCACAACCACGUGUCGUUGCAGGCCCCAGUUGCAUCGCACAUCCCAAUCCCAUUGCACACCCAAGUGUCGUUGCACGUCCAGGUAGCGUUGCACACUCAAGUGUCAUUGCAAGUCCAAGUAGUGUUGCACACCCCAAUGCUGUUGCACACCCCCGCCCCUUUGCACAUCCACGUGUCGUUGCAAGCUCAGGCAGCGUUGCACGCCCCAGUCCCUUUGCACGUCCACGUGUCGUUGCAGGACCCAGCUGCAUCGCACACCCCAAUCCCGUUGCACACCCAAGUGUCAUUGCACGUCCAGGUAGCGUUGCACACCCCAAUGCCGUUGCACGCCCCAGUCCCUUUGCACAUCCAUGUGUCAUUGCAAGUGCCAGUUGUGUUGCACACCCCAAUCCCUUUGCUCAUCCACGUGUCGUUGCAGGUCCCAGUUGCACUGCACACCCCAGUCCCGUUGCACGUCCACGUGUCCUUGCAGGUCCCCGUUGCAUUGCAAGUCCCAGUCGUGUUGCAAAUCUCAGUUGCAUUGCACACUCCAAACCCUUUGCACAUCCAUGUGUGCUUGCAAGUCCAAGUUGUGUUGCACGCUCCACUUGCGUUGCACAACCCCAAUCCCUUUGCAAGUCCCGGUUGCAUUGCACACCCCAGUUCCUUUGCACGUCCAAGUGUCAUUGCAAGUCCCAGCUGCAUUGCACACCCCUGUCCCUUUGCACAUCCAUGUCUCGUUGCACAUCCACGUCUCGUUACAAGUCCCGGUUGCAUUGCACACCCCCGUCCCUUUGCACAUCCACAUGUCAUUGCAAGUCCAAGUGUCGUUGCAGGUCCCGGUUGCGUUGCACACCCCCGUCCCUUUGCACAUCCACAUCUCGUUGCAAGUCCAAGUGUCGUUGCAAGUCCAAGUGUUGUUGCAGAUCCCGGUUGCAUUGCACUCUCCAAUCCCUUUGCACAUCCAGGUGUCGUUGCACAUCCAUGUCUUGUUGCAAGUCCCAGCUGCAUUGCACACCCCAAUCCCUUUGCAAGUCCCGGUUGC